UCCUAUGAAGUCAUAAUAAUUGUAAAACACACAAAGGAGACGGGAACUUCUGGGCCCAAGUUGUAAUAGGUUGAAAGAUAGCUUAAAAAAUCCGUUAUUUUUUUCUACUAAAUCAUUUAAAAAAUCAGCUCAAUUCACAAUCAGGAAGAUGAGAAAUGUAAAAAAUAAGAUAAGAUCAAAAAUAAAAUAGGUAAUCGAUAAUUUUAAUCGAUUUGUAUGCAUAUCAAUUUUAUAUAAAAAUAUAGAAGAGGCUAAUGGAGAUAUAAAUAUAGUAAGAAUAUUAAAAACUAUUUAGUUCAAUUAAAUUAAUCUACUGUGAAUCAAGAGAUAUAAGUAAUAAAUAGAAAUCUAAAAAUCGAUUCUCAUUUACAAAAUCGUUUCACGAGUUGAUUACGACUCUAUUUUUAUCUAUGUUGACAGUGACAUGACACUGACAGCAGUCCCGGCGACCGGCGACCGGCGUAUCAGGGUUCCCAACUUAGGGGUUUUCCCCCCAGAUUUAGGGGGCAAAUAAGUGAAAUGGGAUUUUUUUAGGGGUCUGAAAUUUUUAGGGGUAUUUUCAGGGAUUUUUUGACUCUUUAAUAUUUUAAAUUGAUGAUAAUAUUUCUUUCUUGGCCUAGCGACUUAUAACGACAUAUAAUACGUUAUUCUACAACAACUCUGAGGCAAUUGAAGGCAAUUUUCAUCGAAUAAAAAAAAUUGGUAAAUUUAUUCAUUGUCAACAUGUAUGAUUUCAAAAAAUCUGUAUCUUCAGAUAAAGACGUAGUAUUUUGUCUGUAUUAAAUAUAGUCUUUUGAAACAUAUCACAGCAUAUUAUUUCUAAAUUAUUAUGAAUUUAUAUUUUUUAGGGGGACAAAUCAAUAAUUAAGGCGAUUUUAGGGGUUUUUGACACCAACUUUAGGGAUAAAUAUUUUGGAGAGUUGGUAACACUGACCGGCGUAUGCGUUUAAAAAACUUUGUUAAUACUUUAAUUGUUUACACGUUUGACUUUGGCUCCUUAGUUUGGAUUUAUUUGCCGGCUUAUCGAUUGGAAAUCGACAUCAUGGAUCUUUGUGUGAACUGUGGCAUAGAAAAGAAAAAGGAAAAAGCAACAACUAGUUGUAAUACCACAGGCAGACGAGUCUUGAAUGACGAAAUGAUUCUCUUAGUGAUUCGUCGAUGGCGUACACCGCAGCCUGUAAACAACAGUGACUAUAUUUGCUAAGCUUGCUGGAACAAACAUCAGCUAUUGAUCAACCAAGACAAUUUGGCCACCGUAAUGUUUGCCUCCGCUGUGGUCGCUCUGUUGCAUCACAAGUCACUCAUCUGCUUCCUACAGGCUCAUCUUGUGAACUGAGAAUUUAUAAUGCCAUAGAAGAAUGUAUUAUGCCUCAAACUAUAAAACAAGGAAGCCACAUCUGCCAUAAUUGUUGGGUGGCUGCAGACAGGGCUGCUGUCCAUAUAGUCUCAGGCCCAUCAACUUCUUCCCGAGUUCUAACUGAACCUCCUGCUAGCCAGCCUGGAGAAGAUAGAAACAACCAACCAGAACCUACUAUUGUAUUACCAGGAUAUAUGAGAGCUGUUCCUCUUUUUAAAGUAUUAUGUUCCUGAGAAUAAUUGUCUAUGUGAUAUUCAUUUAGUUAUUGAAGGCUGGGAUGUAAUGAUAAUUUGAAUGUUUUUCCCCAGCUAACCCACAGUGAACUAAUUCUCAUACCAUUAGGUAUCAAAUUGUUUCAAAAAUGUUGUUUGCUUUGUUAAAAAGCAGGCACGUUCAUAUUAUGGAGAGAAUGUAAGGGGUAACAAUGGUUAUUUAAUAGAAGUGUGCAGGGAGGUCAGCAGUAGCCUACUUCGAGAGCUGUCGGCUUCAAAUAGCUCAUGGCUACUUUGGGGAUGCAUACAGUCUAGACAUAUUAGUCGAAAAACUUAUUUUGUUUAUGUUUUUGUUGACAGCUCUUGCAGAGGUAGAGAAGCAAUAUUGAAUGAUUAUUUCAAUUGCAUUGUAGGCAAAAGGGCUUUAGGCUUCUGCGCACAUGUUAUGUCAAUAAUAUGGUACCUUAGUCGGGCUAGGUACCAAGAAAAUAUAGUACCCCCUGCACAAUUCUUAGAUGAUAUAUUAAUUAUAAUUGAAAAUGAAUAAAAAUCAACUAAAUAAAGUGUUUUAUUUUAUCACUCUUUACCCUUGAGCCUUACUUACCUUACCCUCAUUAUUCGGCUCACUGCUGAGCUCGAGUCUACUCUCAGAAUGAGAGGGGUUAGGCCAAUAGUCCAUCAUGCUGGCCCAAAGCGUAUUGGCAGACUUCACACACACAGAGAAUUAAGAAAACUCUCUGGAAUACAGGUUUCCUCAUGGUGUUUUUCUUUCACCGUUAAGACCUUACCCUACUUACCAUGAUCUCAUCAGUCAUUUGAAUUCUAUCUUAUCAUUCAUCCAAUUCGAAAAGUAAAUUAACAAUGGUCUAAGUUUAAUAAUAAAAUCAAACACUUGAAAAAUUAGCUAUUCAUUAUGUAGGUAAUAUCAGCUGUUAUCUUAAAUAACCUCACUUUUACUAAAUCUCGUAUAUCUCUAAUUCCAGAUUGUCAAAUUCUAUAAUAUUUUCAGUGAAAGUUUAAUAAUAUCUAAGCUAUUCAUUGACACUUAUUUCAUCCUUUUACAUUCGUGGCCCAAAUUGUAUGAAAGAGUUUCAAUCUCCAUUAAAAUAGAGACGUUUGCACUAACAUAGCACUGUGGUGUUAAAAUUCGAGAUCAAAGUAAUCGUGAUUGCGUCGAAUUCCAAUAAAUCGAUAUCUCGGUUCGUUAACUGAUAAUGUAAACCAAUUAUCAGCCAUUAUCCCCCUCGUGUUACGUAUCUUUAUUUUUGAGCUUAACGCAUUCCAUUAUGAAGAAUUUUAUUUAAUUAAUUUAGCAGGCGUCCCGCGAUUUCACUUGCGUAGUUUCCGUUCUAUACUAAAGCCAUACUCGAUGUGUACUGUUUACUUACAAACAAAUUAGAAAUGAAGGUAGAGAACGCAUGUCAUUUCAUAACUUUUAAGAUUAAGGGGUUAAAAUACAGCCUAUGACACUAACAAAUAAAGUGGCUUUCUAUUGAUAAAAGAAUUUUUAAAAUCGAUUCAGUACCUAGAUCUAGAGAUUAACUCUUUUAACGUCACAAACUUUACCUCUCUAACAGUGGAAUUCAUAGACGCUGUAGGACACCCUCAGGGGAUCAUUUACCCGCUGAGUGUCAAAUUCUCAAACAAAUAGAGACUAAAUUCGACACUCAGCAGCUGAAUGAUCCCCUGGGGGCGCCCCUACUAUGUCUAUGAAUUCCGCUGUAAGAUAUUAUUAUAGAUUUAGGUACUUACGGGUUACUCUAGAUUUCAAAGAAAAGAAUAUUAUGUCUUUUGAAAUGACUUAUUUUCUCCUCAAUCCCCUGCAAUUAAGCGAAGUGCUUGUGUAGGAUAUCAUUAGUCUAUUUGGCGGAGAUUGAACCCAGGACCCAAGUCGACCCCUAAACCGAGGAUACCGCCGAUUGACUGUCUACAGAUAGAUGUCGGUUAUGUACAUACAAAAGUAGAUAUCUUGCCGGCUUCUGCUUGGUUGAAUCUUCGGACUAAUAGAAUAACUUUAGUAGAAGUAGAGCUCUCUCUGAUAAAGUUCGUCCAAGGAAGUAUGUCUACUAUGAUUUCUGCCACUGCCACUCAAUAUAACUUAGUUCCUAACUUCCUAAUUAUGAUCAUAUUAUCGACUAUUAUUUUUACAUCGGCUAACAGAACAGGCAUAUUAAACUUUAUUAUAAGGCUAGCUUUACACUGCGGUUUCACUCGCAUUAAGUUCUAUAGACUUCCUAACUUAAUGGGCUAUCCAACAUUGAAAUAUUUUUGUUCAAUAACCAGUAGUUUCUGAGAUUAGUGCGUACUUAGCUUUAAAGUAUUAACUAUACCAUACUCUUAAUAAAAUUAGUAGUGUAAAGAUUAAGUAGAGUAUAAACUGCUGAACGAGGAUACGCUAUAAAAAACUCGAAGAACAAGGAGAUGUUAUUAGUUGCGGCUUAAAAUAGACCGGCGUUUACACAAUAGUGUAAUUGUGUGUUAUCAUCAAACGGCACAUAUGCCAAGAAUAUAAACUAAAGGUUCAUUAAUCCUAUAAUAUUGCGGGCGUAAUGAGUAUUUAGCAAUCUACACACACGCCGACAAUUGUUUAUGUUCCAACCCAGUUAAUAGAAAUAAUUGACGUUUUCUUACCUUUUUAUAUCUGAACGUUAUUUGGCAUGGCACGUCGCGACCUUAAAAUGUUAAACCUCUCAUUGUAAAUUUUCAUAAUAUUCAGUUAACAUACCUACUUAUUUUUAUAUUUUACACUGCGGCUAUUUGUGGAACAUGUCAAUUUAUAUUUGUCUAUUUAUAUUUCAACAUAGUAAUUGAAAAGACAUAUAAACGUAUAACUGGAAAAACAAUGUUUUUUAAUUUUUUUAAUUAUUGACAUGUUUACUAAAAUGGUAAAAUGUGUUGGAACAACCAACUAACUUAAACACAAGCGAAACUCUAAGUUACACUGUAAGUUGGCGUGUGUGUAGAUGCUAAUAACGAGUGUAACAGAGGCAUUGGAAACUGCGGCACGCUGUAUUGACCUCCGCAACCACGAUGUUUCUAAUAAUAUCCUUUAUCUUUGUUCCAACUUUAGCGUGAACGAGUAAAAUAUGUGUGCGCUCUCGAAUGCAGUUUUAAAUAUACUCAAAUUAUAAAAGAAAUGUUGUCAUGAGGAAGAAGAAUAUUUUAAAAUACCUAAUGGCGGACGCCCACGACCUCGUCCGUAUUCAAAAACAUUUUAAUAACUGAUUUAAU